UAGUGAGUUUGAUCCUGGCUCAGGUACGAACGCUGGCGGCAUGCCUAACACAUGCAAGUCGAACGAAGCCUUCGGGCUUGUGGCGCACGGGUGCGUAACGCGUGGGAAUCUGCCCUUGGGUUCGGAAUAACAGUUAGAAAUGACUGCUAAUACCGGAUGAUGUCUUCGGACCAAAGAUUUAUCGCCCAAGGAUGAGCCCGCGUAGGAUUAGCUUGUUGGUGAGGUAAAGGCUCACCGAAGGCGACGAUCCUUAGGCUGGUCUGAGAGGAUGAUCAGCC
rnacentral:rRNA from 1 species